UAUUGCCUCCCAAGGCUGUGAGGAGCACUGAAUAGCUCAUGCAGUCUCUUCCUCUCCCUCCCUCCCUCUCAAAAUAAUGGAUAAAAGGAUCAUAAUAAAUGAUAUCGAGGGAUUACAAAAUCUAUCCCAAAGAGCAGUAGCUGCCAUGAGAAGGAAUGACAAGAAGAGGAUCCACUUGCCGCCAGUCAGAGGACGCAUUAAACGCAAGAUUUUUAGCCUUGUUUACAAAAAACUGAAGCUUGCAGGCCAUAAUGCCUCCACCUUAUCUUCUGAUCAAGACCUGCGCGCAGCCAGAGUUGGCCAUGCAUCUUUCAUUUCCGUUAAGUUGGAACUAUCAUAACAGUUCUCUUUCGAUCAGAGAGUUGGUCAAGAAGCACGACAUAUUCAUGAACAAAGAGUUCAAAGAGACACCGGGAAAGGGAAAAGGCCCCGGCAGUGGUUUCGUAUGAUAUGUGUGUCCAUGUCAGAAAUGAUAGCAAUACUUUCCAAUCCAAUCUACAGGUUUGCUUGGUUAUGUAUACAAUAAUAUAUAUUAUAUUUUAAAAUUUUAUCUAAUAAUUUAAAUUUUUAAAUUAAAAUAA